rnacentral:lncRNA from 7 species
ACCACCCCUGCUGGCUUAUCUGUUGGGCCAGAUAUGCCACACUAACUGAGAGGAAAGAGGAAAAAAAAAACAAAACUGAGAAAUGGGGGAUAAAAGCCAUCACUAAAUUAAGGACUCUGGAGAAAAAGUUCCCAAAGAAACCUCUGAUGGAGAAUUCUCUGCGGGGAACAACCUCUUCGGAAGAAGCUCCCCGCCUUCCGGGGCCAACUUGCUGCAAAGCUUCCUUGCUUUCUGCCAUCCCCCGCGGUGACUGGACAAGUGCCUGAGAUCAACGGACCUACUGCAAACCUCGCUGGACCCACGGUGGUGACUCACUCUCUCUCUUGCUCUCUACAAAGACUCCUUGCUUUUAUUUCCUAUCUCUUUUCUAUCGUCCGUCUUCCCCUCCCCACAUCCCUAAGCUGGUCGGGCUACUAACUGGUCCAGUUAGCCUAACUGGCCGGGCUAACAUUUGACCCGUUGUGACUUAAUCUCACCAUCGGGUAUACAUGUAUUAAAAGAACUUCUUCUCCCUCCUAUAAAUUGGAGCGAGACGCUCCUGAGUCACUGCUAAGCUGAGAAAAAGUUUCAGCCAGAUUCUACCCCUGCUUGCAAAAUGAGAGGAAAACAAAGAGAAAAAUUACAGGAAAUGGAAGGAAAACCUGUUGGACAUGGGAAAAGCAAAGCUGUACAUAGUACGGAAUAAACAGAAUGGAAAGCUGCAGCAUCAUGAAAGUGAUUUCCUCCGCUGCAAUCCGAGGCUUUCUGCAAGGAGACAACUUGACAAAGCCCACCCCAGUAGCCAGGUAUUCUGGGCCAGCCUCCCUGCCAGCCAGUUCUGUGCCACCUGAAGUGGUGAGGACACCAGAAAGCACCAUCCGCCAAGCACAAUGAAGACCUCAAGGUAUGCAUCUACACAAAAGACCAUCUGCAAAACCCAGAAACAAAAAUAUCAUCCACAGUGAAGUUGGACCCAGGACACUCGGAGCUGGAUUCCAGUCUCCAUGGAGCUGCCCGUUUGGAAAGCACAAUGGGAUUAGAACUGAGACCACUGUUGUAUCAACAGUCAUCUCCUUGAACUAACCAAAUGAGGUGCAGCUGGCAGCUCUUCUCCUCUGCAGCCAGCUCUGCUGCAUCUCCCUUAGGAGCUCUCUUGGACCCAGCCUCUCUACAGUAUGUUUGACUCCAGCACAAUGAUGCCACUGAAGUUUUACAGUGUUAUUGGAAAAAAAUCCAUUGUUUGCUACUAGCUUUUAUUUAGCUGGAAAACAGAUUUAGGAAGCAGACAUAUUUGUCUGGCUCAACAUGCUAUGUAAGUGUGCAGGCAAGAGGGUGAAAACUCGUUAGUAUGAAACAUAAUGUGCAUCAUUUAAAGUCCUGUGGGAUAAAUCUCUCUAUUUCUUGCCAUAAGAGUAUAGGUGGUCUAAGUUAGAAUAUCUAUAAAAAUGUUUAUUUUCUUUUUUUAGCUGGCUGUUUUUUUACUGUGACCAAGCAGAAAAAAAAAAAAAGAAAAAGAAAAAAGAAAAAAAAAAAGGCUGCAAAAUCAUCCUUUCUUACAGAAGUGUGACCAGAUUAAGCUAUUUCCUGUUAUGAUACACUCCCCCUGGCACCGGGACAGGUUUACAUCUGUAUUUCUGCUUUUGAGAGAGCCGUUGCUCUUGGUAAGAAUACAUAGAAGUGUCUGUUAUCCUGGGAAUGCACAAACAACUUUUGUUGAAAUCAGUACCACCAAAAGCAGUUCCAUCUCAUUGCCUGUUUUAAUAAAUAUUUUCUACAUUUUCUUCCC